UGAGGAAUAUUGCGCAAUGGGGGCAACCCUGACGCAGCGACGCCGCGUGAGUGAGGAAGGCCUUCGGGUCGUAAAGCUCUGUCAAAGGGAAAGAAAUGCAUAAUGGCUAAUACCUGUUAUGUUUGACGGUACCCUUAAAGGAAGCACCGGCUAACUCCGUGCCAGCAGCCGCGGUAAUACGGAGGGUGCAAGCGUUGUUCGGAAUUACUGGGCGUAAAGGGCGCGUAGGCGGUUUGAUAAGUCAGAUGUGAAAGCCCACGGCUUAACUGUGGAAGUGCAUUUGAAACUGUCAGACUUGAGUACCAGAGGGGAAAGUGGAAUUCCCGGUGUAGAGGUGAAAUUCGUAGAUAUCGGGAGGAAUACCGGUGGCGAAGGCGACUUUCUGGCUGGAUACUGACGCUGAGGCGCGAAAGCGUGGGGAGCAAACA
rnacentral:rRNA from 1 species